UGCCAGCAGCCGCGGUAAUACGGAGGGGGCAAGCGUUGUUCGGAAUGACUGGGCGUAAAGGGCGCGUAGGCGGAUGUGCAAGUUGGGGGUGAAAGGCCUGGGCUCAACCUGGGAAUUGCCUCCAAAACUGCACGUCUUGAGUUCGGAAGAGGAUGGCGGAAUUCCCAGUGUAGAGGUGAAAUUCGUAGAUAUUGGGAAGAACACCGGUGGCGAAGGCGGCCAUCUGGUCCGAUGCUGACGCUGAGGCGCGAAAGCGUGGGGAGCAAACAGGAUUAGAUA
rnacentral:rRNA from 1 species